rnacentral:rRNA from 1 species
UACGAAGGGGGCGAGCGUUGUUCGGAUUUACUGGGCGUAAAGGGCGCGCAGGCGGUUCUGUUUGUCGAGUGUGAAAGCCCCGGGCUUAACCUGGGAACUGCGUUUGAAACUGGGAGACUUGAGUGUGGCAGAGGGGGGUGGAAGUUCCACGUGUAGCAGUGAAAUGCGUAGAUAUGUGGAGGAACACCGAUGGCGAAGGCAGCCCCCUGGGUUAACACUGACGCUCAUGCACGAAAGCGUGGGGAGCAAACAGG